UUCCUUCCCUUUUCUCCAGGGCUGAAGAGUUUGCUUGCUUCCCUUUAAAGGAGACAGCUUGAAAUUUGUGACUGAAGCACUAGUUCAAUUUUCUAGAUUAUUCUAUAAAUUAUAGCCAAUGCUUUUGCUGUCCCACAUGUAGCCAUGCCACUGUAUCCACAUUGCCCUUAACUUCGUUUUGUUGUUGUUGUUGUAGAACUUAUUACCAUCUGGAGAUAUCACUGGAAAUUAAACACACACAUACAUACACACACACAUUUAUGCAUACAAUAUUUUCUCCACAACUAAUUACUGAAUUUGUGGUAAACAUUAACAAGGACAGCUGGAUUAUAGAAAUAUAAAAAGGGACUUAAUCUGAGAUUUAAGGAAUUCCUCAGAAAAUUGGGAAUGGAACCACCAUUUGACCCAGAUAUCUCACUCCUUGGUUUAUACCCAAAGGACUUAAAAAUCAGCAUAUUACAGUGAUACAGCCUCAUCAAUGUUUAUAGCAGCUCAAUUCACAAUAACUGUUAUGGAACCAACCUAGGUGUCCCUCAAUAGAUGAAUGGAUAAAGAAAAUGUGGCAUAUAUACUCAAUGGGAUAUUACUCAGCUUUAAAGAAGAGUAAAAUUAUGGCAUUUGUCAGUAAAUGGCUGGAGUUGGAGAAUACCAUGGGUCAUGCCAUAAUGAAUCCAUUCUCUUUCAGAGAAUUGGAGUGGAAACCACAAUGGAGAGGAGGAUGGCACUGGGGGGAGGAUGAAAAGAGAAAAGAAGAGGCCACAACUUCAAGAAACAGAGUUGUUACCCAAGAGGUCAUGCAAUUAAAACCAAAUGGUGUCAUCCUACACAUUUUGGUGUAUACAAAAGUCAAAGAAACCAUCAAAAAUGAAUCUGGUACUGGAGGCAGUGAUGCAUGCCUAUACUCCUAUCUUCUCUGGAAGCUGAGGCAGGAGGAUCGCAAGUUCAAGGCUAGCCUGGGCAACUUAGACCCUGUCUGUAAAGAAAAAAUAAAAAGGGGUGGAGAUGUAGCUCAGUAAAAUAAAAUAAAAUCUGGAGGUGUGUGUGUGCAUGGAUCUUUCCCCCUCUGAGAUAUGAAGAGAAAUAUUUUAUUCCCUAGUAUAAACAAUUUCUCCUUGGGAAUACAAAGGAGGAUAUAGGUGUUUACCCUUUGGAAUAUAAAUAAAUUUCUCCACAGGAAAGAUAAGGCCAGAACUCUAGCUUUACCUCCUAGAGAUGUCUUCAUGGCCCUAGGGGUUCACUCCUCCUUAAGAUGAAAACACACAUACUUUGGGGGAGGUAAAUCUCUCUGGAAUUCUCAUUAGCUAAUCACUCUUCAAUUAAUUCCAGGCUUGGCCUUUCAACUCAGAUCCCAAAUCUCAGUAAAAUUUGUUCAAAAAACCUUAAUCAUGCAGAAAUAGAAUACUUUGCCUAUGUUGGCUGAACCACAGGCCUACCAUCUUAAAUGUCUCAUGAGCUGCUUGACUUAUGUGGCCUUCUUGGUUCUGAUUGUAAGCAUUUGCCUCUGAUGAGAUUUAGGAACAUGACACUCCCAAAUAUGGCAUUUUAGAUUUGAGAAGACAGCAGAAGCAGAAAGGACUCCCUGACCUCUUCCCCUUCCCCUCUGAAGUAGACCAUGAAAGAAUGAUCUUCUUUUGAAGCAAAUUAUGAGGUAGAAUAGAAGAGAUAAAGGCAGGUUGAAAGGAGACAAAAGGAAGGAAAAGGAGUACAAUUUUAAUCUAAAAGUCUUGUGCUAAAAUUCCUCAUACCUUCACUUCCAAUGUCAGUUUUUCCUCAGGCCCUUUACUCUCAAAUUUCUGAGAAUUCUACAGAGUUUUACUCAUUAUCUUCAACUUUCUGGAAAUUCACUAUAUACAUGUCCAUUACUGCAUACAUUUUAAAAAAUAGAUUGAGCAAAUUAAGAUAUGAAACUGGGGAAAUAUAGUGUAUUUCCCCAGUGUUAUCUAAUGAUCCAACAAUGGGGAAGACAUCAACCUAAGGAUCCCGAGAACUGCCAUACCACCACAAAACAUCUUGUGAUCACCAGACUGAUGUCAUCCCCACAUACCUUCCCAUGCCCACCACUCACAAGGUUUCCUUUAAGAGCCUGAGGCUGAAAAGCCUGUCUCACUUUCAAAAUAGCCUGCAUUCUUCUUUGAAUGUGUACUCCUUGCUUUUCUGAAUAACUCUCCGUUGGUGCCUCUACUUGAUAUGUCUUGAAAUUCCUUUCUCCAGUGUUUUUCAAGGAUCCUGUUUUCCUGAGUUGAGGGCCCCCUCUCCAGGAUUUCCUUGACACACCCCCACUCCAGUGACAAUAAGACUUUCAUUCAAGAGGUAACUUUUCUCUAUCUGAAUUAAAGGAAUAUCCUUUUUCUGAAGACACAGGGACACAGAGUAGAACAUGAACAAACAACUUGCUCAAUUACUCCCAGUUUUUCACUAUUAGAUCAUUGUUAUCGUUUGGAUGUGAGGUGCCCCCCAAAAGCUCACAUAUGAGACAACCUUCUAAGGACUAAGACCUCAAGCCCUGAGGAAUGGAGCUGGCCUUCUAUGGACUAAGUUCUCUGAAACCAUGAGCCCUCAAAUAAACUUUUCCUCCUCUACAAUUGUUCUGGUUGGAUCUUUUAGUGAACUAAUUAAAACAAUCAUACAUAGCCUCUUGGUUCAGUCCUGCUUCUCCACAACUGUCCAUGCUGCAUCAAAGUUAGCAUAAAAAUACAUAGCUUUCCCUGCUUUUUUCCUUUCCUUAUGAAGGUUCCCAUGUCAUGUAAAACUUGUAUUAAGUAAUUCUGUGUGCUUUUCUCUUGUUAAGCUGUGCUUUGUUAUAGGUGCUUCAACCAUGAACCUACCAAUGAAUGAGAAACGACAUAUUUUUUCUCUUGUACCUCCAAGUUAUUAUCAAUACUUUGAUCAAAGAAUGUAUGUGUGCAUGACCAAUGUAAUUCUGCAACCUGUACACUUAGAAAAAUGAGAACUUAUAUCCCAUCUGAUUCAAAUGUAUGAUAUGUCAAGAUCAUUGUACUGUCAUGUGUAACUAAUUAAAACAAAUAAAAAAAUCUUAAAAAAUAGAAAGAU